rnacentral:sRNA from 1 species
GCCAGGGGUGGUGGCGCAUGCCCGUAAUCCCUGCAGCUUGGGAGGCUGAGGCAGGAGGAUCAUGAAUUCAAAACCAGCCUCAG